rnacentral:misc_RNA from 1 species
GAAAUGCGAUAAGUAGUGUGAAUUGCAGAAUUCAGCGAAUCAUCGAAUCUUUGAACGCACAUUGCGCUCUCUGGUAUUCCGGAGAGCAUGCCUGUUUCAGAAUCGGCAACAUUUCCUCUUGUUCACAUGGGCAAUCCGCAAAGGAUUGUCUUUGGGAGCAAGGACUUUGGAUGUUUUUCUGUAAACAAAAUCAUCUUGAAUGAAUUUGUGGGUGUGCGGAUGUCCCGAGGUUCCUUAACUGGAACUGGCCCCAAAGUGCAACAAAAAGCCAUGCUCUUUAACAACCACUUGGGCUUCAGGCAUCCAAACACGUGCAUGUUUUUCACAAAACCACAAUCUCGAUCUGAAAUCAGGCAGGAAAACCCGCUGAACUUAA